AGAGAGAACGGGACUGGUGUUCCAAUCGGUCUUCAAAACCGAUAGCAGGCGGAUAAAACCGUCUGUGGCAGGUUCGAUUCCUGCUCUCUCAGC
rnacentral:tRNA from 1 species